rnacentral:rRNA from 1 species
UACGGGGGGGGCAAGCGUUGUUCGGAAUUACUGGGCGUAAAGGGCUCGUAGGCGGCCAACUAAGUCAGACGUGAAAUCCCCCGGCUUAACCAGGGAACUGCGUCUGAUACUGGAUGGCUUGAGUUUGGGAGAGGGAUGCGGGAAUUCCAGGUGUAGCGGUGAAAUGCGUAGAUAUCUGGAGGAACACCGGUGGCGAAGGCGGGUCUCUGGGCCGAAAUUGACGCUGAGGAGCGAAGCGUGGGAGCGAACAGG